UGUAAGAAUAUAUGGUUUUUCGUAUGAUAUUCAUUCUCUGUUCUUUUUCUUUUAUAAUUGCUAUUUCUGACUCUUAGGUGUUUUAUAUCUUCCCAUUAAUUUUUCUCGAUUUUUUUGCUUUAUGGUCCUUCAUUUUUGGAAGAUUCAUCGUGUAGUUAUGUUUUGCUCUUUUUUCCAAUUUCUCUUUUCUUUCUUAGGUAUAAAGGGACAUGGGUUUUCUUGUUUAUUCAGUUCUUUGUACAUUUUUUAUGACAAAAAAAAUGAAAAAAUUGGCGAUGAUUUGUUUCGAUAAAGACUUAUAGAUCUUCAUCAAAAUCUUUCAGAUUAGCAUUUCAUAGAGAUGUGGAGUUUACUGUUAGUAGUGUUGUAGAAUGCUGUUUAGUUGAUGAUCGAAAAUUUCACGUGUUUGUUCACUGUAUAACCUAUCUUUUUACUCUGCAUUUGUAUUUUGCAUCUCUCUUUUUUCCCUCUCUUGCUCUCCCAUUUUCAGAUUUUUGGUUCGGGACUUCUCUGGCAAUAUUCAACUAAUAACCAUUGAAUCUGGCCAUAAGCUAAAUUACAGAUUUCUUGACAGCAUAUUGCCACAACAAACACUUAGACUUGGCACAACCACUUGUUCAUCAAUGAUUCUGUUAUCAAGAAAAUUUGAUUCAUGCUGGCUGAACACAUUGUUUGCUUAUUGUCCGGCUUCACUACUCCAUUAGCAAUCUGCGCUAAUCCCUAAUCUUCACUGGGUUGUUUCCACCUUCAGUUUUUGUUGAAGAUAAAUUCUUCAUACAUGCUGAAGUGUAUUUUGUUAUAGGUUUCAUUGAGAGCUUAAUAUGGGUGCUGCAAUGUUUGAUCCUUGAUGGCUGGAUAUAGUAAAUUGCUGUGUUUAGUAAAGUUCUCGUCAAUAUGAUUUUUUCGUCUUUCUUUA